rnacentral:rRNA from 1 species
GACAGCCAGGCAAAUCCGGCUGUCAUAAAGGCGAAGGCGUGAUGCGUAUGGAAAGCUGCGGCAAGUACAGAAGUCAUUGAAGCCAGCUUCCAAGAAAAGCUUCUAGUGCCAAUCAUACAGUAACCCGUACCGAAAAUGGACACACAUGGGUGAGGAGAGAAUCCUAAGGUGAGCGAGAGAACUAUAGCUAAGGAACUCUGCAAAAUGACUCCGUAACUUAGGGAGAAGGAGUGCUCAUAGAGAUAUGAGCCGCAGUGAAACGGCCCAAGCGACUGUUUACCAAAAACACAGCUCUAUGCUAAGUCGAAAGACGACGUAUAUGGGGUGACGCCUGCCCGGUGCUGGAAGGUUAAGAGGAAGUGUCAGCGCAAGCGAAGCACAGAAUUGAAGCCCCAGUAAACGGCGGCCGUAACUAUAACGGUCCUAAGGUAGCGAAAUUCCUUGUCAGGUAAGUUCUGACCCGCACGAAAGGCGUAACGAUUUGGGCGCUGUCUCAGCUGUAGACUCGGUGAAGUCUUAGUACCUGUGAAGAUGCAGGUUACCCGCGACUAGACGGAAAGACCCCAUGGAGCUUUACUGCAGCCUGAUAUUGGACUUUGAUGCAGGAUGUACAGGAUAGGUAGGAGACUGAGAGACAUGCACGCCAGUGUGUGAGGAGUCGCUGUUGGGAUACUACCCUUUGUGUAUUGGAGUUCUAACCGGAUGCCAUGGAACUGGUGACGGGACAGUGUCAGGUGGGCAGUUUGACUGGGGCGGUCGCCUCCCAAAGAGUAACGGAGGCGCCCAAAGAUACCCUCAGCUUGGAUGGAAACCAAGCGCAGAGUGCAAAGGCAAAAGGGUGUUUGACUGCGAGACCCACAAGUCGAGCAGGGACGAAAGUCGGGCUUAGUGAUCCGGCGGUGCUGAAUGGAAAGGCCGUCGCUCAACGGAUAAAAGCUACCCUGGGGAUAACAGGCUGAUCUCCCCCAAGAGUUCACAUCGACGGGGAGGUUUGGCACCUCGAUGUCGGCUCAUCGCAUCCUGGAGCUGAAGUCGGUUCCAAGGGUUGGGCUGUUCGCCCAUUAAAGCGGUACGCGAGCUGGGUUCAGAACGUCGUGAGACAGUUCGGUCCCUAUCUGUCGUGGGCGCAGGAAGUUUGAGAAGAGCUGUCCUUAGUACGAGAGGACCGGGAUGGACAUAUCAAUGGUGGACCAGUUGUCACGCCAGUGGCACAGCUGGGUAGCUAAAUAUGGAAGGGAUAAACGCUGAAGGCAUCUAAGUGUGAAACCCACUUCAAGAUGAGACUUCCCAAUACGAAAGUAUAUAAGACCCCUUAAAGACGAUAAGGUAGAUAGGUCAGGAGUGCAAGCAUGGUGACAUGUUCAGCGGACUGAUACUAAUAGGUCGAAGACUUGACCAGAA